UUAUAGUUACUUAUAUAAAAUUCUAUUUACUUAAUGAUAGACUUAUUAACAUAAAAGGUUAUAUAAUCCUGAAUUACGUGGUUACUGAUUUUCUCUCUCUCUAUGGCUAUCACUUUUUAUUCCCUGAACUUUUUUCUUGACUUUGAAAAUAAAACCAAGGUUUAUAACUUAACAGUUUACCAUGGGCCCUGGUACCUUUUAUAAUCUGUCAAUCCUUAGAGGGAACUCAGAGUAGACGAUACUAACACUGAGAAUAGACCUGAAACCCAACAAGAAAGAUUAUGUUAUUUGUGUGACGUUGCUAUAAAAUUUUUAUCUUUCCUCCAAAUUUGUGGGGCUUUUAAAGUUCUAUUCCCUAAAAGUAAAAUUUAAAAGAUGAACUCUCAUAAUAAUGCUUUAAAUAACACUAGAAAAAUCACUAUAUAGAUUUCUAUUUCCCCACAUGAAAUUAAUUCAGAACAACCACAGCUAAAGAGACAAAAUCACGAAUCCUGGAUGAAGAUAAAAUUCCACACAUAUCUAAUUUGGAAAAAUGAGAAGAAACAGUGUGCAUGCACGCUUUUAUUUUUUCCCCUGCUGGAAAAGUUCAGAAAAGACCAGGCUUAUUUCUACUUUCUUACUACUCAUCUUCCCUGUCCUUCCUCCAUUUUCUCUUCUUCCUCAGAGUAAUUUCAGGCUCAGUGAUCUCUCUAUUCUUUUAUUGUGCUCCACAAACAUCACAUAUAUUUUAACAAAUAUUCUGUUCCUUGAAUAACACUGAGUGGCUCAGUUUUCCUAACUGGGUUUCUCUGCCUCGAAGGUUCUGAUGCACCGUGGGCAUGUAAUAAAUGUCUGCUGCAGGAAUACAGGAUGAAAUAACUAACUGCUCUCCAGUUUAUGUGUCCUUCAGUAGGCUGUAUCCAUCAAUCAUCAUGCCAGGUAUUACUGGGGAAACAAACACAUGAGGACCUUGGUUUGCUCUAUCUCAAGAAGGCUCAUAUAAAAUAAUAAUACUGGUAAAGAAGUUACAUUACUGAUAGAGGUGUGCAUCAAAGGUUCCUUCUGCAAGAGUUACAUCCACCUUCAUACUUCCUGAGGAGCAAAGAAGGGCCUGUGUUUUGACCCCCUUUCACAGAAGAUAAUCACUGGACUCCUGGUUCCGGAUGGAUGAGCAGCUCAGUAGAAUUCACUGAGUUACUGAGGGGUGAGAGGUUCCUUCCUGCUUAGGCAUCAAGUGAUACACUCAUUAUGCUGGAUAGCAGGGUGACCUGUCUGGGACUUCAAGGAGCACCUGGAAUAUGCUAACCAAACACAUACUGUCUGAAAGUUUUGUUGAAUUGUUUAACCUACCCUUUCAUUUCAGCACCAUAGAUUGUGCUAAGGCUUUUGUUUCUUUGCUUUCCAGUUGCCUCCAACCUUUCUUGCAUAUAUGUUUUACAUCUUUAACAAGAAUUCCUAUCUUCUGCUAUUUCAGAAUCACCCAAACAGUGCUGAGCAUGCUGAGUCACUGCUCAAUGAAGCACUGGCCUGUUAAGGAGUCCUGUGUGAUCUGCUCUCUUCAGGUCAUCCAUCCUAAAAUGCUCAACAACCCCAUCUUCUUCCAAGAACAGAGCCCUAAAGAAACUGCUAGGGUAAUCUCUCCUAGGUGGUUUAGAGAAUGGGAGUAGAGCUAGUCACUGGAAGUGAGGAAGUGGGCAUUUCCUUCCUUAGAAUCACAACUGAGUUUCAAACAGCCUCAUAACUAUCAUUUUGGAUAAAUUUCCGGGGUAUGUGUCAGGCAGUUAAAUAAAAUGGACUGCCUUCAAAGGCAGUGCUUUUAAUACAAUAACUGUUUUUUUUUUUUAAAUAAACCAAAGGAUUAGAAAUUUAACACAUUUACUAAAUCUGGCAUAUUUAUAUAUUGUAUCUAAACAGAUAUUCAAGCUGCAUUAUAAUAUAAUAAUGAAAAAGCCUAACACAGUUUGUCUAUUAAGGCUUUGUGAAUCUUUGUGCCACUGUAACAGUAGUACUAAUUAUCCAGCAAAGACAUGAUAAUUACACAGAGCGUUUUUGCUAAAAGGAGGAAUCUUUUUCAACGCCCACACGCCGCACCACUUCCUAUGACCCUAUAACACUACUCUGGUAUGGCCCAGAGAUUUGUAUUUCAGUCUAAAUGCUGGAAAUCAUAUUAUUUCUCCCUAUACCCCCACCUCUUUUUUUUUUUUUUCUUCUUGUGAGUAAACUGUUUUUAGAGGGUUUGGGGAGAGAGGUAAUGGUCCAAAUGGGAAAUAUAAAACUAAUGACCCUUCAUGAAACAUAUUAUGCUCCUCAUUAAACUUGCUCAGUUAAAUGUAUUCCAUUAAAUUAAAAUAAAUAGGAUUUAAAAUUUGACCCAGGAGUAGUAAGCUAUCUUAACUUUCAAAUUUGUUAGAUCCAUUCUAAAAUGGGAUUUCUCCAGUCCCUGAUGUAUUGCGGGUUCUUAGCUUCUCAUACAAGUUAUAUUUUGGUGUUUCAGAGGUUUUCAAACUUACUGUGUCCAAGAAUUACUUGAAGAACUUGUUAUAAACACAACUUUCCACCCAAAGCGCUUCUUCUCCACCAAGUAUCUCAAGCAUUCUGACUUCAAUGAUCAUCCCUUUGAAAAACACUCCGUGUGAGGGUGCUAUAAAAUUUAAUCAAGCUUGCUUUACUCCUUUCUUCAUCAUCUCUGUCAUUACUAAAAUAUGGAAAGGCAGCUAUGUGAAGAAUGUGUGAUUCAGGCAGUUGAGGAGGGCAGACUCACAAUGUAUUAGAUGUGCACAUGAUGUUCAUCCAGAGAAUUGAGCCAUUGAAUCUUUUAAUUUUGAUCAAGGAGUCCCAGAAUGUUGUGGGUUGUUUUUGUUUGUUUGUUUGUUGUUGUUGUUUGUUUGUUUUGUAGUGCUGGGGAUUAAACAAAGAACUUGGUGUGUGCUAGGCAAGUGCUAUACCGCUAAGCUACAUCCUCAGCUCCAGGAUGUUGUGUUGAGAGAUUCAUAAUUUUAAUCUACUGAUGUUAAAUGCAAAAAAUAAACAAACAAACAAAAACAAAGAAGAAGAGAAGAAAUAAAAACUGAAAGAAAAAAUGGAGCUGCUGCUUUAGUCUUUCUAAAAAUAAUGCUU